rnacentral:rRNA from 1 species
UACAGAGGUCUCAAGCGUUGUUCGGAUUCAUUGGGCGUAAAGGGUGCGUAGGCGGCGCGGUAAGUCGGGUGUGAAAUCUUGGAGCUUAACUCCGAAACUGCAUUCGAUACUGCCGUGCUUGAGGACUGGAGAGGAGACUGGAAUUUACGGUGUAGCGGUGAAAUGCGCAGAUAUCGGGGGGAACACCAAUGGCGAAGGCAGCUGGCUGGGACGGUACUGACGCUGAGGCGCGAAAGCGGUGGGGAGCGAACAGG